GACGUAGGGAGCGAGCGUUGUCCGGAUUCAUUGGGCGUAAAGGGUGCGUAGGCGGCCUUAUAAGUCAGUGCUGAAAUAUCCCGGCUUAACCGGGAGGGUGGCAUUGAUACUGUAGGGCUUGAGUAAAGUUGAGGUAGGCGGAAUUGACGGUGUAGCGGUGAAAUGCUUAGAUAUCGUCAAGAACACCGAUAGUGUAGACAGCUUACUAGCUUAACUGACGCUGAGGCACGAAAGUGUGGGGAUCAAACAGG
rnacentral:rRNA from 1 species